ensembl:misc_RNA 7SK 7SK RNA
UGGUGGUGAUCUGGCUGAAACAUCUGUCACCCACUGAUGGCCAGGAUUUAUCUGGCUUGUUAGGCUGUCCCCUUGCUCCUUUGUCAUUCCGUGUGCUGUGCUCACUUGGUCAAUAGAGGAGGACAUUCAGAGCCACACAGCACCUCAGGAACACAAUUAGACAUUAGCUUGUAGAUAUGCAGGUUAUAUGGAGAUUUCUAGUUUGAAAAUGCAAAGUAAAUACAUCUACUAGAUGUAACUGUAGAAAUUAUCCAUAUUCUUGCACUACCCCAGUAGUCACCCAGA